rnacentral:rRNA from 1 species
CCAGACUCCUACGGGAGGCAGCAGUGAGGAAUAUUGGUCAAUGGGCGCGAGCCUGAACCAGCCAAGUCGCGUGAGGGAAGACGGUCCUAUGGAUUGUAAACCUCUUUUGUCGGGGAGCAAAAGACGCCACGUGUGGCGUUCCGAGAGUACCCGAAGAAAAAGCAUCGGCUAACUCCGUGCCAGCAGCCGCGGUAAUACGGAGGAUGCGAGCGUUAUCCGGAUUUAUUGGGUUUAAAGGGUGCGCAGGCGGAAGAUCAAGUCAGCGGUAAAAUUGGGAGGCUCAACCUCUUCGAGCCGUUGAAACUGGUUUUCUUGAGUGAGCGAGAAGUAUGCGGAAUGCGUGGUGUAGCGGUGAAAUGCAUAGAUAUCGAGAGGAACACUCGUGGCGAAGGCGGGUUCCUGGACAUUAACUGACGCUGAGGCACGAAGGCCAGGGGAGCGAAAGGGAUUAGAUACCCGCGUAC